GUGUAUAAAGAAUCAUUGUAGCUGCUGCAUUGAGAUUUGACUUGAGACAAGUUUAUGAGCUGGGGAACUAUUAAAGUAAUCCAGGCAAGAGAUAAUGGGAGCUUGGAUCAUGUGGGAGUGGUGGAGGUUCUGAGAGUUGAUAAGAUUCUGAAUAUGUGAGAUGUGAGGGAAAGAUGACUCCAAAGUCUAUUGGUCUGAGCAAUUGGAAAGAUACAGUUGCUAUCAAUUGAUAUGGGGCAGUCUGCAGAUGACGAAGGUUGGGGAGGAAAAUCAGGAAUCCAGUUUUAGGUAUGUUAAGUUUAAGAUAUCUAUUAGAUAUCCAACUGGAAAAAUUGACAGACCUUUUGCAUCUUCUUUGCAUCUUUGGAGCAUUUAGAUGGUAUUUAAAGCCAUAAGACUAUAUGACAUAGUGGAAAGCCAUAAGACUAUAUGACAUGGAGGGAAGACAAUAUAGAAAGAGAAGAGGACCAAGAACUAGAACAAUAAAGAUAUUUGCCUAAUUAAAAUGCAUUAAAGACCUAAAUGUGAGAUCUGAAACCAUAAAAGUCCUAGAAGAGAUUGCAGGCAGUAAUUUCUCUGACAUUGGCCAUAAUAGCAUUUUCCUAGCUAUGUCUCCUAAGGCAGAGGAAACAAAGGUAAAAAUAAACAAUUGGGACUACAUCAAAAUAAAAUGCUUUUUGCACAGCAAAGGAAACCAUCAAACCAAACAAAAAGACAACCUACUGAAUGGGAGAAGAUGUUUGCAAAUGAUAUAUCCAAUAAGGGCUUAAUACCCAAAAUAUGUAAAGAAGUUAUACAACCCAACACCAAAAGAAACAAUCAGGUUAAAAAAUGGGCAGAGGAGAGGGCGCCUGGUGGCUCAGUUGGUUAAGCAUCUGACUCUAGAUUUUGGCUCAGGUCAUGAUCUCACAGUUUGUGGGUUCAAGCCCCACAUUGGGCUCCACAUUGACAGCAUGGAGCCUGCUUGGUAUUCUCUCUCUCCCUCUCUCUGUCCUUGCUCUUUCUCUCUCUUUCUCUCUCUGUCAAAAAUAUAGAAAAUAAACUUUUAAAAAUUAUUUUAAAAAGGGGGGCUGGGCACCUGGGUGGCUCAGUUGGUGGAGCGUCUGACUUUGGCUUGGGUCAUGAUCUCACAGUUUGCAGGUUUGAGCUCCACAUCCGGCUCACUGCUGUCAUUACAGAGCCUGUUUUGGAUCCUCUGUCCCCCUCUCCGUGCCCCCCCCCACCCCACUCAUGCUCUCUCUCUCAAAAAAUAAACAUUAAAAAAAAAUUUUUUUUAACAAAAAAUUGGCAGAGGACCUGAAUAGACAUUUUUCCAAAGAAGACAUACAGAUAGCCAACAGACAAGGAAAAGAUGUUCAGCAUUACUAAUCAUCAAGGAAAUGCAAAUCAAAACCACAAUAUCACCUUAUACCUGUUAGAAUAGCUGAAAUCAAAAACCCACGAAAUAACAAGUGUUGGCAAGGAUAUAGAGAAAAAGGAGCCCUCAUACACUGUUGAUGGGAAUGUCAGUUGGUAUAGCCACUGUGGAAAACGGUAUGGAAGUUACUCAAAAAAUUAAAAAUAAAAUAUAUGAUUCAACAAUUCUACUAUUGGGGUACUUAACCAAAGAAAACAAAAACAUUAAUUUGAAAAGAUGCAUGCACUCCUAUGUUCAUUGCAGCAUUGUUUACAAUAGCCAAGGAAAGUAUGGAAGCAGCCUAAGUGUCCAUCAAUAGAUGAACAGAUAAGGAAGAUAUGGGGUAUAUGUGUGUGUGUGUAUAUGUAUAUAUACACGAUGGAAUAUUAUGCAGCCAUGAAAUAGAUGAGAUUGCGCCAUUUGGAACAACAUGGAUGGACCUAGAGAAUAUUAUGCUAAGUAAAAUAAGUCAGACUGAAAAGAAAGACAAAUACCAUACGAUUUCACUCAUAAGUGGAAUAUAAAAAAUAAAAGCCAACAACAAAUGAGUAAGAAAACAAAAACCAGAAUCAGAUCUGUAAGUACUAGGAACAAACUGAUGGUUGCCAGAGGGGAGAGUGUUGGAAGAUACAAGCUUCCAGUUAUGGAAGGAAUAUAUCAUGGGAAUAAAAGGCACAGGAUAAGGAAUAUAGUCAAUGAUAUUGUAAUAGUGAUGUAUCGGGAUAGAUGGUAGCUACACUUGAGAUGAACAUAGCAUAAUGUGUAAACCUAACAAAUCGUUAUGUUGUACGCAUGAAACUGUUGUAACAUUGGGUAUCAGUUAUACUCAGAACAUUUAAAAAUUAACAAAAAAAGGACAUUCAACUAAUUAUACCUAGGUGGUGCAAGUUUCACUGAUUGGAACACAGACUUUGUGAUCAUCCUUCUGAGUGGUUAAAAACAGAUACGCUUUGCUCUUGGAGUUUUGAUUCCAGUUUUAAUGACAGUGUUGUAUAUUGCCACUCAGUCUGUAUUAGGACCAGUGGUAUGUAUUUGUAAGAUAGCUAGGUCACCAAUAGUCUGUGGUAUGGAAGAGGUAUUUUAUUUGUUGUUUUGUUUGUUUAAAUAUGUGCUAACUAAACAUAUAGAGACUGUGAACUUAACUCCAAUAACACAUUAUUAGCACCACCCAAAUUAACUAACCAGAUAGUAACAUUACAUGCAGAAUCGUGCAAACUGAUUAGAACAGAGCCCAGGGCACUCAAAUAUUAGUUCUUAUGUGCCCUUUGUGCUAAAACAAACAAUAUGUAUGUGGUUCAAUGUAUGCCAGUCAGUCAGUCAUCAUGGAGCUUAGUUCUUUCCCAAAUUGCAUACUAAGCAGCAGACUCCCGGAAUCUAAUUAAUUUGAUCCCCACAUUGGUCCUGUUUGCCACAAACAUUGCCAUGCUUCAUGGGCCUCACAAGUUGUGUUUCUUAGAGAAAUGCAUAUGUAGCUCUUACACUCUGCAACAGUGUUUGCCUCGGCAUAAUUGUAUUUGUGUGUAAUUACAUUGGCAUUGCAAUGUGGGAAUGACAGGGUUGACAGGACUAUUAACUUGCGUACCCUGGGAGUUGUUUCCCCCCUCCCCCCAUGGCUGACUGAAGGAGCUGUGUUUCUGGUUAGAUUCUACUGUGGGAGUUUGAAAUGGACUUCUUAUUAAAUAGCACAUAGACUGUUCUUUACCUGGACAGUAAAUUAACUGGAAUUAACUGGACAAAAAAUAGUACUCUCCCGGUGAUAUAUUUUAUCUUUCAACUUUUUCUCUGUAAUGAAUGGCUUUUUUUUUUUUUUAAUCUCUUGUAUCUUAGGCACAGGGAGAAACUUUUAUGUCAUCUUCAGAGUUAUAGCUGUUCUGUUUAGCCUGCACGAAAGCUUAAACUUCCUUUGGCAGAACUCUAGUGAAGGGGCAAACUUAUGUCCAGUGGAAAUGAGAGAGGCAGAAAAAGGAAAAAUUUAGAUGUUGAGAGGAUUCAGUUGGCACAGAAGAAAAUAAUUUGAGCAAAAGAGAAAUGAGAGCAUUAAAAACUAAACCUAGCAGUGCAAUGGCGUCUUCCAUUUUCAACUAUCUUGAAGUAUUUCUAACUGAGAGCAUGGACAUAAAGCAUAUAUAGAUGGUAUAUAGACAACUCCUAAAGCAUAUGGACAAACAUUUACACUGUAUUUGUCAACAGCAUCUGCAAAGCAGAAAGGGUGUAUGCCAGUUCAUCGUAGACUAGGAAUGUUCGUUUAUGUACUUUUCUGGGACUUGUACUAUUAUUAUAAGAAAAUUAGAUGUUGUGGCACCUGGGUUGCUCAGUUGAUUAAGCAUCCAACUCCUGGUUUCAGCUCUGGUCAUGAUCUCAUGGGUUGGUGAGUUCAAGCCCUGCAUCAGGCUCCAGGCUGACAGUGCAGUGCCUGCUUGGGAUUCUCUCUACCUCCCUCUCUUCCCCUCCCCUGCUCAUGCAUGCUCUCUCUCUCUCUCUCUCUCUCUCUCCUCCUCUCUCCUCCUCCUCCUCUCUUCCUUUCUCUCAAAAUAAGUAAACUUUUUAAAAAAUAAGAAAAUUAAGUGUUGAGUUUGUAACUACAUUUUUAAUGCUAAGGAAGGAGGGUUCUCAGUAAACUUAGAUGAAUGGAGUAGACUUUAUUUCUGAACCAACUAUAAAUUCACAAUUAGGAAAAGUAGCUGAAGAAUUAAAACUUCUACAUGAUCCAUACAUAGAUGCUUUUCUUAGUACAGUAAUGGCCUUCUUCCUUAAAACUCUGCCAACUACAAGUAAUGGGAAAUAUUUUUCCUUUUCUUACCACCCGAUGGAGCAUUCAGCCAAAUUUAUAGGCUUUAAAGAAAAUUACCAAAAUAUUAAAAAGUAACUAAAUCAGGCUGAUGAUAGUUAAAACACUUGAACUUAAAGUAGACUUUCUGAACCUUUAUGUUUAUAAUUUAUUUUUAUAGGCUUCUACUACUCACGGCUUAUGAUGGUUCUCUGAUUUUAUACCUUUAAGUAUAGGUUUCACUAUCAAGAAGCUCACUGUUCCUAAAUACUGAGCCUACGUUUUAGACAUGCCACCAGAUGGUAGUGUUUUGCCUGACACACAGAUUACAAGCACAACAUAAAUAUCAAACAUAUCUUUACGCACUAAACAAAUGUAUUUUAAAGGAUACUCUAAAAUAUAAUUAAGUAUUUUAUAGUAUUAUAAAACUAUGGUAGUAUUCAACAUCUUUCUCCUUGACUUUUUAAAGCAACCUUAUUGAGAUAAACAACUUUUUUAAACAACUCUUUCCUGAACAUCUAUAGUUGUAGUAAGUUCUAACAAAAGUUUUAGAUAAGUAAUACUCUUAUAAGCUACUUAUUCGGUGUUUCACCGGCCAUGUAACCUAUAAA